AGGAGGAGAAGGAGGAAGAAGCGGAGAUGAAGGAGGAAAAAAAGGUGGCAGAGAAGGAAGAUGAAGAGAAAACAAAAGAAGAGCACGAAGAAGAAGCAUAACCAGAGGAAGAGAAAUAGGCAGAGGAAAAGAAAAAUAAAGAGGAGGAGAAAGAAGAAGAAGAGGAUGAAGUUGAAAGAGAAUGAGAAAAAGAAAAGUGGAUCUAUAAUUUAGGAGAAUGAAGUUGAAUUAGGUUAAAUGGUAUGUUCCGUAAAUAAGUGAAUUCAUAAAUGAUCAAUUGGACUUCUACUUAU
rnacentral:lncRNA from 1 species